rnacentral:rRNA from 1 species
CCCUUCGAUGUUCUGGGCCGCACGCGAAUUACACUGACCAAGUCAACGAGUUUAGAACCUUAUCUGAGAAGAUCGGGCAAUCUUUUGAAACUUGGUCGUGAUAGGGAUUGAUGAUUGCAAUUAUUCAUCAUGAACGAGGAAUGCCUUGUAACUGCACCUCAUCAAGGUGCGGUGAAUGCGUCCCUGCUCUUUGUACACACCGCCCGUCGCUCCUACUGAUUGAAUUCUGCGGUGAAAUCCCCGGAUUGUGAGGGGCUUACUUUUCGCGGCUCUGUCGCGGAUGACCCAUGCAAGAUGUCGAUUAAAUCUUAGAAUUUAGAAGAAGGAGAAGUCGUAACA